ACAAACUUGGUCAUUUAGAGGAAGUAAAGUCGUAACAAGGUUUCCGUAGGUGAACCUGCGGAAGGAUCAUUAACAAGUCCAUGCUGCUAGUUCUUGCACACAAAUGUGCAAUGAUAUUAGCAACAUCUGUUCCAUGUGCAUGUUCACUCUGCGCAUGACAUUUCUGUGAGUCAUCUGAUGUUGUCAUUGGAAUUGUGGCAAAUAACUUUUAACAAUGGAUCUCUAGGCUCCUGCAUCGAUGAAGAACGCAGC
rnacentral:misc_RNA from 1 species